AUUACUUAAUUAAAAGCAAUUAUUUUGAGCUCAUUCCUGCAAUUAAGUUUUUCAAUUAAUCAUGGCCAAGGGUAGCAACAAUUCAAUCAACUGCUACUUCAACGUAGCCUUAGUCCUCACUUUUCUUCUCAUUCUGACACCAUCUAUGGGAAGAGUUUUCAGUAUGUACAUUAAUUCAUUCCAUAAAUUUUACGUGCUACCUAUUUGUUUUUCCUUUGUCUGGCUGAACUCACAUUCUAUAUACGUUUUUUUUUGGUUUACUCCAGUAUCUAAUAGCGAGGCAUCUCAGGCCAUUCCAACUUGUACGACAAUUUAUAACGUAGAUACUGGUG
rnacentral:lncRNA from 1 species